UAAUACGUAGGGUGCGAGCGUUAAUCGGAAUUACUGGGCGUAAAGGGUGCGCAGGCGGUUCUGUAAGUCAGAUGUGAAAUCCCCGGGCUUAACCUGGGAACUGCGUUUGAAACUACAGAGCUAGAGUGUGGCAGAGGGGGGUGGAAUUCCAUGUGUAGCAGUGAAAUGCGUAGAGAUAUGGAAGAACAUCGAUGGCGAAGGCAGCCCCCUGGGUUAACACUGACGCUCAUGCACGAAAGCGUGGGGAGCAAACAGGAUUAGAUACCCUGGUAGUCCACGCCCUAAACUAUGUCAACUAGUUGUCGGGUCUUAUUAGACUUGGUAACGUAGCUAACGCGUGAAGUUGACCGCCUGGGGAGUACGGUCGCAAGAUUAAAACUUAAAUGAAUUGACGG
rnacentral:rRNA from 1 species